UACGAAGGGGGCUAGCGUUGCUCGGAAUCACUGGGCGGAAAGCGCACGUAGGCGGAUUGUUAAGUCAGGGGUGAAAUCCUGGAGCUCAACUCCAGAACUGCCUUUGAUACUGAAGAUCUUGAGUUCGGGAGAGGUGAGUGGAACUGCGAGUGUAGAGGUGAAAUUCGUAGAUAUUCGCAAGAACACCAGUGGCGAAGGCGGCUCACUGGCCCGAUACUGACGCUGAGGCACGAAAGCGUGGGGAGCAAACAGG
rnacentral:rRNA from 1 species